GUGUGUGGUCGUCGCUGGGACAUGAGUGAUGCUGGGGUGGUGUGCAGACAGCUGGGCUGUGGAGAUGCUGUAGAUGCACUAGGAGAGGCUCACUUUGGACCAGGAUCUGGGAGAAUAUGGAUGGCUUAUGUGGACUGCAGUGGAUCAGAAUCCUCACUGAAGCAGUGUGAGUCACCAGGAUGGGGCAAACAUUCCUGUAAUCAAUCAGAGGAUGCUGGAGUGAUCUGCUCAGAGACACCCCAGGCUGUCUUGACGGUCUCUCCACAUGGGCGGAUAUAUAGAGGACAAGCUGUCAGUCUCUCUUGUGAGGUCACAGUGACCUCUGCUGGCUGGGAAUAUUACUGGUACAAAGGAAAUGGAUCAAGUGGCACUGCCCUCAUUGCCAGUACAGCUGAAGGCUCGUACACCCUCAGUGCUGCAGCUCUUGCACACACCGGGGAGUACAGCUGCAGAGCAGGGAGGAGCAACCCAGUCUGGUACACAGAGUACAGUCACCCUGUCGACAUACAGGUAACAGGUGAGUGCUGGUACACAGAGUACAGUCACCCUGUCCACAUACAGGUAACAGGUGAGUGCUGUUACACAGAGUACAGUCAUCCUGUCCACAUACAGGUAACAGGUGAGUGCUGUUACACAGAGUAGUCACCCUGUCCACAUACAGGUAACAGGUGAGUGCUGUUACACAGAGUACAGUCACCCUGUCCACAUACAGGUAACAGGUGAGUGCUGUUACACAGAGUACAGUCACCCUGUCCACAUUGUAGGGGUCCUCGCACGGGACUCCAAAUUAUGUAGGGUCCUCGCACGGGCCGCCAAAUAACGCAGGGAUUUUACUCUCUACGAAACCAGGGCGCCAGUUAAACGUUGUGUAGCAGUAUAACUGCAAAAAGUAAUCAGUCUCAUAAAAUUACUAUUAUCAGGAAUAUCUAACCACAAAUUUAGUAUUUUAAUUAAUAAUUAAAAUAACCAAUAUUAAUGAUUAAACAUACCGAUAACCUGAAGGUUGGAAGUUCUUCGAAAGACUGCUUUAACUCGGCUCUCAUGUCUAUGCGAUUCCAAAACGGACACCGGGGUUUAAUAAAAUAUAUUUAUUUAUUUAUUAAACACAGAACAGAUAAACUAACGGGAAUUAGUAGGGGAAGUUAGGGUGUGUGUGUGCGUGUGUGUGGGCGCGAGCAAGCGCGCGUGUCGCUUGAACAAAGGAAAGGUGGGAGUAGCUAGCUUGAGUAAGCUAGAGUUCUGGGUGUGGUAAUGAGUUAGAGUUAGCUGUGAGAAGGGACUACUUGCGUAGUUUUGCUCUAUAUAUGCGCAAAAGACGGCGAAUCAAUUCACGUACAUAUAUAUGUAGCUAACCAAACACAUUACAAUGGUAGGAUGGUAAAUAUUGAAACACAGAUUCACAAAAACAGUUAAGACUAAACUAAACACUGCCUAUGCCUGAAUGUUUGUUCUCUUACUGAGUUCAUACGCAUUGGAUCCAAAAGACGUGCUGUCCUUAUAGGAGCCAUGAUGGUGCUGUGAAUGUGUGUCCUGGAGAGAUGCGCAGGCUGGGGCGUCUUAGCCGCGCGUUGUCGUCUGGUCCACUCCGUUGCUGGAAGGAUGUUCGCUUGUCCUUUUUCCGGGUGGAAAAGUUCGUUGCUGUUGUUCGAUGGUGAGCUUUGCAGGAGUAAACUGAUGUAGCGUUCCGCGUACACCAGUUUCCACUCGCUAUAGGCGACGAAGUUACCGCGAGGUAACUGGGUGUGUCCGUAGGCCUGGUAGUGCGCUGUGCAGCAUUCAGCCUCUGUCCGAGUCUCGGAGCAGAUGAGCUGAAGCGAAUGGCCAAAAAGGGUGCGUCGAAGAGAAGAAGCAGAAGAGGCAGAAAAAGCAGAAGAGAGACAGAAGAAAGAUCCCAAGAACGUGUCUUGCUCUUAUACGGGACCGUUUAUUGCUCCCGCCAUUACGGGAUUGGCUGAACCAAGUUAGACGUCAUUCGUGGUGGACGUCGCAGAAUUUUCCUGUGGGAAUGUGGAAGUUGUAGUCCCUACAACAUACAGGUAACAGGUGAGUGCUGUUACACAGAGUACAGUCACCCUGUCCACAUACAGGUAACAGGUGAGGGCUGACUGAUAUUCUUCUGUGUGUAAAACUUGCAAGGUCCCAUAAUGCAGUACGUAUUAUCCUGUUUGUUCCAUAACUGCCAACAUACUUUUCUGGCGUUCAUUAUUGAAUAUCUUUUCGAAAUAGUAUUCAUAAAAGAAUUCCAGCUGCCUUUGUCCCUCUGUGAGGGUGAUUUGUUUUCUCCACAGUCAUAAAUACACUGGUGUGAAAACUGCAUUCACUUACUGUAGCAGAUGCAUUACAGGACACUGCAUACACUUACUGUAGCAGAUGCAUUACAGUACACUGCAUACACUUACUGUAGCAGAUGCAUUACAGUACACUGCAUACACUUACUGUAGCAGAUGCAUUACAGUACACUUACUGUAGCAGAUGCUUAUGUUCAGAGUGACGUUCAGCACAGGAGCAAUGUAUAGCAGUAUGCAUCCCUCAUCUCUGUGUCUCCACAGGCAGAGUGAUGUGUGGUCUGGGUGCUGCUCCUCUCCUGCUGGCCACCAUUGUACUGUGUGUGAAAUGGUACAGGAGACCAGGGCCGUCUACUGAAACAGCUGUCCGCUACACUGGAGGGAAUGUGGAAAUUGCCAUAUAAAACACACAGAGGCUGGGUCCGUGUACUUAUGUGAAAUGAGAAUGAAGUCUGAGAGCUCAGGAUUCUUUUUUCAUCAUUGUGAUGUUUCUCAGCUUGCAGGAAAAUUGGGGGUGCAGUCAUGGGGGCAUUUUAGGGAAUGGGAACAGGAAGAUGUUGUGUCUUUAGAGCGCAGCAUCUGUACGAUAUAAGCAGAGUUUCUGAUUCACCUGGGCUGCACUUGUGAUCUUCCUGUAGUUAGUUUGCUUUGAUUGCUGUAUGUUUGUUCUAGGUUAGGUCACUGAACUUUAUGUUUGAUGCAGUAAAUUGACAUAAAUAGACUGAAAUUGAAUAUGUAUGUCACCAUGUGUCUGUAUGUAUUAAAUUGGAUAGAUGUUAAA